rnacentral:rRNA from 1 species
UUGAACGCUGGCGGCAGGCCUAACCCAUGCAAGUCGAGCGGAUGAAGGGAGCUUGCUCCUGGAUUCAGCGGCGGACGGGUGAGUAAUGCCUAGGAAUCUGCCUGGUAGUGGGGGAUAACGUCCGGAAACGGGCGCUAAUACCGCAUACGUCCUGAGGGAGAAAGUGGGGGAUCUUCGGACCUCACGCUAUCAGAUGAGCCUAGGUCGGAUUAGCUAGUUGGUGGGGUAAAGGCCUACCAAGGCGACGAUCCGUAACUGGUCUGAGAGGAUGAUCAGUCACACUGGAACUGAGACACGGUCCAGACUCCUACGGGAGGCAGCAGUGGGGAAUAUUGGACAAUGGGCGAAAGCCUGAUCCAGCCAUGCCGCGUGUGUGAAGAAGGUCUUCGGAUUGUAAAGCACUUUAAGUUGGGAGGAAGGGCAGUAAGUUAAUACCUUGCUGUUUUGACGUUACCAACAGAAUAAGCACCGGCUAACUUCGUG